rnacentral:rRNA from 1 species
AGAGUUUGAUCCUGGCUCAGGAUGAACGCUAGCGGCAGGCCUAACACAUGCAAGUCGAACGGUAACAGGAAAGAGCUUGCUUUUUUGCUGACGAGUGGCGCACGGGUGCGUAACGCGUAUAUAAUCUACCUUUUACAGGGGGAUAGCCUUUAGAAAUGAAGAUUAAUACCCCAUAGUAAGUUAUUUUGGCAUCGAAAUAACUUUAAAGUUUCGGCGGUAAAAGAUGAAUAUGCGUUCUAUUAGCUAGAUGGUGUGGUAACGGCACACCAUGGCGACGAUAGAUAGGGGCCCUGAGAGGGGGAUCCCCCACACUGGUACCGAGACACGGACCAGACUCCUACGGGAGGCAGCAGUGAGGAAUAUUGGACAAUGGGCGCAAGCCUGAUCCAGCCAUGCCGCGUGCAGGAAGACUGCCCUAUGGGUUGUAAACUGCUUUUAUACGGGAAGAACCCCAUCUACGUGUAGAUGGCUGACGGUACCGUAAGAAUAAGGAUCGGCUAACUCCGUGCCAGCAGCCGCGGUAAUACGGAGGAUCCAAGCGUUAUCCGGAAUCAUUGGGUUUAAAGGGUCCGUAGGUGGACAAUUAAGUCAGGGGUGAAAGUCUGCAGCUCAACUGUAGAAUUGCCUUUGAUACUGGUUGUCUUGAAUUAUUGUGAAGUGGUUAGAAUAUGUAGUGUAGCGGUGAAAUGCAUAGAUAUUACAUAGAAUACCAAUUGCGAAGGCAGAUCACUAACAAUAUAUUGACACUGAUGGACGAAAGCGUGGGGAGCGAACAGGAUUAGAUACCCUGGUAGUCCACGCCGUAAACGAUGGUCACUAGCUGUUCGGACUUCGGUCUGAGUGGCUAAGCGAAAGUGAUAAGUGACCCAC